GCUGGGCAUGGUGGUGGGUGCCUGUAAUCCCAGCUACUUGGGAGGCUGAGACAGGAGAAUCACUUGAACCCAGGAGGUGGAGGUUGCAGUGAGCCGAGAUUGUGCCAUUGCACUCUAGCCUGGGUGACAGAGCGAGACUCUGUCUCAA
rnacentral:sRNA from 1 species